GAGUUUGAUCGUGGCUCAGGACGAACGCUGGCGGCGUGCCUAAUACAUGCAAGUAGAACGCUGAGGUUUGGUGUUUACACUAGACUGAUGAGUUGCGAACGGGUGAGUAACGCGUAGGUAACCUGCCUCAUAGCGGGGGGAUAACUAUUGGAAACGAUAGCUAAUACCGCAUAAGAGUAAUUAACACAUGUUAGUUAUUUAAAAGGAGCAAUUGCUUCACUGUGAGAUGGACCUGCGUUGUAUUAGCUAGUUGGUGAGGUAAAGGCUCACCAAGGCGACGAUACAUAGCCGACCUGAGAGGGUGAUCGGCCACACUGGGACUGAGACACGGCCCAGACUCCUACGGGAGGCAACAGUAGGGAAUCUUCGGCAAUGGACGGAAGUCUGACCGAGCAACGCCGCGUGAGUGAAGAAGGUUUUCGGAUCGUAAAGCUCUGUUGUUAGAGAAGAACGUUGGUAGGAGU
rnacentral:rRNA from 1 species